AGAUGGCGACCGGCGCGACGGGUGAGUAACACGUAUCCAACCUGCCGAUAACUCCGGGAUAGCCUUUCGAAAGAAAGAUUAAUACCGGAUGGCAUACGAAUAUCGCAUGAUAUUUUUAUUAAAGAAUUUCGGUUAUCGAUGGGGAUGCGUUCCAUUAGUUUGUUGGCGGGGUAACGGCCCACCAAGACUACGAUGGAUAGGGGUUCUGAGAGGAAGGUCCCCCACAUUGGAACUGAGACACGGUCCAAACUCCUACGGGAGGCAGCAGUGAGGAAUAUUGGUCAAUGGGCGAGAGCCUGAACCAGCCAAGUAGCGUGAAGGAUGAAGGCUCUAUGGGUCGUAAACUUCUUUUAUAUGGGAAUAAAGUUUUCCACGUGUGGAAUUUUGUAUGUACCAUAUGAAUAAGGAUCGGCUAACUCCGUGCCAGCAGCCGCGGUAAUACGGAGGAUCCGAGCGUUAUCCGGAUUUAUUGGGUUUAAAGGGAGCGUAGGUGGAUUGUUAAGUCAGUUGUGAAAGUUUGCGGCUCAACCGUAAAAUUGCAGUUGAAACUGGCAGUCUUGAGUACAGUAGAGGUGGGCGGAAUUCGUGGUGUAGCGGUGAAUGCUUAGAUAUCACGAAGAACUCCGAUUGCGAAGGCAGCUCACUAGACUGUUACUGGCACUGA
rnacentral:rRNA from 1 species